rnacentral:rRNA from 1 species
GUGGGGAAUAUUGGACAAUGGGCGCAAGCCUGAUCCAGCCAUGCCGCGUGAGUGAUGAAGGCCUUCGGGUCGUAAAGCUCUGUCGCAGGGGAAUAACACAAUGAAGGUACCCUGUAAGAAAGGAUCGGCUAACUUCGUGCCAGCAGCCGCGGUAAGACGAGGGAUCCUAGCGUUGUUCGGACUCAUUGGGCGUAAAGCGGAUGUAGGUGGCUAUGUAAGUCAGAUGUGAAAGCCUGGGGCUCAACCCCAGAAGUGCAUUUGAUACUGCGUAGCUUGAGUGUCGGAGAGGUUACUAGAAUUGUUGGUGUAGUGGUGAAAUACGUAGAUAUCAACAGGAAUACCGGAGGCGAAGGCGGGUAACUGGCCGAACACUGACACUGAGAUCCGAAAGCGUGGGGAUCAAACAGGAUUAGAUACCCGAGUAGUCC